UACGUAGGGUGCAAGCGUUAAUCGGAAUUAUUGGGCGUAAAGAGCUCGUAGGCGGCUCGUUGCGUCGGCUGUGAAAACCCGCAGCUCAACUGUGGGCUUGCAGCUGAUACGGGCGGGCUUGGAUUCGGUAGGGGAGACUGGAAUUCCUGGUGUAGCGGUGAAAUGCGCAGAUAUCAGGAGGAACACCGGUGGCGAAGGCGGGUCUCUGGGCCGAUAUCGACGCUGAGGAGCGAAAGCGUGGGGAGCGAACAGG
rnacentral:rRNA from 1 species